CCGAACCAGACCGAAAAACCGAACCGAACCAAACCGAAAUUUAUUGUUUGGUUCGGUUUUUCGGUCAAAAUGGUCUGGUUCGGUGUUAGAUAAUAAUAAGUUUGGAGUUUGGUGUUUGGUUCGGUUUGAAAUUAUUAAAAACCGAAAUAACCGAAAACCGAUUUAACCGAAUACAUUGCAUUUUGUUUCUAGGUAAAUAUGUCACUGCCACAUGUAUUAGCUUUGGGUCCCGUUCAUUUUCAUUUCAUCAAUAAAUCAGCCCAAAAAACUACACCGUUUAAAAGCCAUAUAUAUACAUCCUUAUAAAUUUUAAAACCCUAAUCUCAUUUCGUUUUUCUCUCACUCAUUCAGCCUCUUACUGCUCCCUCCCUUUGUUCAUUUUCUUCUUACUUCUCAAUCAUACAAAUUCUAGAUAUCUCAUUGAUUUGUUCAAUCUCUCUACAAAACUUUUCAAUAUAAUAUUUUAUUUGAUCAAAAAAAUUUCUCUGAGGAUUAGCGUUGUGAUUAGAGGAGAAAGCUACCAUUUUCACUGCUCGAAUCUAUCUAUAACUCCUCACAAAAUCAAGCUUCUGGAGAUCCUCUCUCUUGCUGUUCUUCUUUUCACUUAUUUUUUUUUAUUCACUUCUUUAUGUUAAUUAGUUUUUUGGUAUUAUUAGUUUUAAUUUAAAUUUUUUUGAUGUAUUAUGAUUUGUAAUAUUCAUGUAAUAAUAUGGAAUUUUCUGUUUAUUUUUGAUGAAAAUGAAAUUUCUGUUUCAUUUAAUAAUUGUUAAA